rnacentral:rRNA from 1 species
CCUACGGGAGGCAGCAGUAGGGAAUCUUUCACAAUGGGCGAAAGCCUGAUGGAGCAACGCCGCGUGCAGGAUGAAGGCCUUCGGGUUGUAAACUGCUUUUAUAAGCGAGAAAUAUGAUGGUAACUUAUGAAUAAGGAUCGGCUAACUACGUGCCAGCAGCCGCGGUCAUACGUAGGAUCCGAGCAUUAUCCGGAGUGACUGGGUGUAAAGAGUUGCGUAGGUUGCAUAAUAAGUAGCUAGUGAAAUCGGGUGGCUCAACCAUUCAGACUAUUAGCUAAACUGUUAAGCUCGAGACCGUUAGGGGUAACUGGAAUUUCUAGUGUAGGAGUGAAAUCCGUAGAUAUUAGAAGGAACACCAAUAGCGUAGGCAGGUUACUGGGACGGUUCUGACACUAAGGCACGAAAGCGUAGGGAGCAAACGGGAUUAGAUACCCGGGUAGUC